rnacentral:rRNA from 1 species
CCUACGGGAGGCAGCAGUGAGGAAUAUUGGUCAAUGGGCGCGAGCCUGAACCAGCCAAGCCGCGUGAGGGAAGACGGUCCUACGUAUCGUAAACCUCUUUUGUCGGGGAGCAAAAGACGCCACGCGUCGCCUUCCGAGAGUACCUGAAGAAAAAGCAUCGGCUAACUCCGUGCCAGCAGCCGCGGUAAUACGGAGGAUGCGAGCGUUAUCCGGAUUUAUUGGGUUUAAAGGGUGCGCAGGCGGAACAUUAAGUCAGCGGUAAAAUUGAGAGGCUCAACCGCGUCGAGCCGUUGAAACUGGUUUGCGUGAGUGAGCGAGAAGUAUGCGGAAUGCGUGGUGUAGCGGUGAAAUGCAUAGAUAUCACGCAGAACUCCGAUUGCGAAGGCAGCAUACCGGCGCUCAACUGACGCUCAUGCACGAAAGUGUGGGUAUCGAACAGGAUUAGAUACCCUUGUAGUC